rnacentral:rRNA from 1 species
UACGGAGGGUGCGAGCGUUGUCCGGAAUCACUGGGCGUAAAGGGCGCGUAGGCGGCCUGCUAAGUAGGGGGUGAAAUCCUGCGGCUUAACCGCAGAGCUGCCUUCUAAACUGUCAGGCUUGAGCACAGUAGAGGCAGGUGGAAUUCCCGGUGUAGCGGUGGAAUGCGUAGAGAUCGGGAAGAACAUCAGUGGCGAAGGCGGCCUGCUGGGCUGUAGCUGACGCUGAGGCGCGACAGCGUGGGGAGCAAACAGG